GAUGAACGCUAGCGGCAGGCCUAACACAUGCAAGUCGAGGGGCAGCGGGGAGUGCUUGCACUCCGCCGGCGACCGGCGCACGGGUGCGCAACGCGUAUGGAACCUGCCCUUUACAGGGGAAUAGCCCAUGGAAACGUGGAUUAAUGCCCCAUGGCACCUACCAUGGCAUUAUGGUAAGGUUAAAGGCUUCGGCCGGUAAGGGAUGGCCAUGCGUACCAUUAGCUCGUUGGUAAGGUAACGGCUUACCAAGGCGACGAUGGUUAGGGGCCCUGAGAGGGGGAUCCCCCACACUGGUACUGAGACACGGACCAGACUCCUACGGGAGGCAGCAGUGAGGAAUAUUGGACAAUGGGCGAGGGCCUGAUCCAGCCAUGCCGCGUGCAGGAAGAAUGCCCUAUGGGUAGUAAACUGCUUUUGUACGGGAAGAAACCCCAUCUACGCGUAGAUGGCCGACGGUACCGUAAGAAUAAGGACCGGCUAAACUCCGUG
rnacentral:rRNA from 1 species